AGGCCGGUAGUAUAGCGGUAUACGCCCGGGUUUCCUUACUCCUGUGCUAAAGUCACAGUGAGACCUUGUCUUGACUUCGUCUACCUAAGAUUUCAAGCACCCCGGGAGAUCCAGGUUCAACUCCUGGCUGGCCUA